AUGGCCCCGGCCUGGCUGCCCGCUCCGCUUCCGGGGCCCGCGCCUCCGGCUCGUUUUGCUCCGCGCGGCGUUCCUGCCGCUCUGCCCCCAGCCUGCAGCGAUGCCUGGGGUUGUUGUGAGCGAAGUGCGGGACCGGCGAGUGGCGGUGUUGAGCCUCGUGCCGUUGGCGUCGGCCGUCGAUCAGCCUGUGCGGACCGCUCUGCAGGGUCUUCGUAUCCUUAGGCGGAUAAUAGGAGGAUGCGGGAGCUGAGGGGCGAUGGGAGAGAGCGGAGCGUCCUGCCGUGCCGCCGGCAGCCCGGGGACCGCGUGCUGUGGGUGCCGGCACGAAACUCCUCCAUCCGUCAGCACAGGAGCGGCAGGAACUCGGCGCAGCCCUGCAGAGAGCGGUCCGGCAGCAGGGGAAGAUGACGGCCGUGGAGCGUGAGUACCUCAGCGGUGUCUGCAGCCUGCUAGGAGCCGAGCGGGGCUGGGAAGAGGAAGGUGUGGGAGUCCUGGGGAGGGACGCAGAAUGGCAGCGUCAGCGGCAGGCUCGGCUGCUUCUUCCUCCUCCACUCCUGACACUGUGCGCUGGUUUCCUUUGAGAAGCACCCCAGAAGCCAGAGGCCAUUGUCACAUCUGUGGGAUGGCCCCGAGACCUGCCAUGUGCCUAUGGAAAUGGUGAGAGUGACUUCUGAGGCUGUGAGCAGUGGCUGAUGAGAGAAGCUGAAGAGAGGAGCCUCCGAAUUGAGCUGAGUGUGUGGGAAGGUACAUGCAGUGUCCAUCUCUUCUGGAGCGUUGUCCUUCCUGCUGCUGACUGUUUCAGUCAGUGCACUCUGAUAUGGAACGAAAGGGCAUUUGAUUGCAAAUGGAUCAAGAGCGGAGGCCUUCAUCCUGUGCCUGCUUGGCUUCCUGACCUGUUGUGGUAGCUGCAGGCACGAAGCACUAAGAGGAGCACAGGAUCAGAUCCUGGGGUGUUUGGGGUUUGUUAUUAUCUGAAGCUGGUAAGUCAGUGUAUGCUACAUAGGAAGCUGCAGUUGAACUGCACAAAUUCAUCUUCUGACUGGCUGGCAAACAGCUGAUUUUAUAAGUCAGGGAUCUGGAAUUCCUUCAGAUUCUCCAGUGACGUUCCGACGGAUACGAUGCCCUUAAAUUAUUGGUACACAGCUCCAGGUUUUUAUUGCAUGUUCUGAUCUGCCUUUUGCACAGAGUAAGAGCUCUGUGUUUUAACAUCAUCAAGGUAAUCUGUCUGUACGUUUGCUAAGGUCUCUCUCAGGUUGUUUGUGUUCAGUUAUGAAGAAUAGGUGUAAGGAUUUUGUUAUCUGGGGUAUCUGUACAACUUCUUUCUGAGAAUCCAGUCUGAAAUGUGCUGCAGUCUUUUGAUAUGUUUACUGUCUUCUGUACAUUUUCUUGCCAAACUGUGAUCUGGACGAAAGUUGCUGAGAAGUCAUAGAGAUGGUCUUAAAACAGACUAGGAAACAGACUUUGUUUCCAGUGAAACAAUUAGUAAUCUAAAAAAAGCCUUAUUAAAGAAAGGGAAGGCACCACUAUCUUAAGCACAAUCAUUUCAAAGCUGAUAGCUUUGAUGUGACUCUGUUUUGGAUAAAUAAAGAGUGCGUGGUCUGAAAUAACUGAAACAGAGCUCAGCAGAAAGCAUCCGCAUGCUUGUCAAAGGAAAUUUGAGUUGGCUGUCUUGUCUCCUGCACAUUUAAAGGUUUAACAGGCUUGCCACGUGACUUCCUGGCUCUCGUAUGCUUUAGUAUCUUAUUUGGAGGUUGAUGCUGCUCCUGUUUUCUUCCUUUUACAAGCCCUUUGUGAUAACACCAGCCCCGUUGGUUUAGCAUUCCAGUAGCCCGACCUGCAUGCAGAAAUUAUGAUAGAACAGGUCCAAAUCUGUAAAUGCAGUAUUGCUCUUAUCUUGGCUUUUGUAUCAUAAAUCAAUUCUUCCUGGUGAAGGGAGGCUUAUCUUUCUGCUGGACUCAUUUCCUCUGAGCCUGAGUUCUCUGUGUUACCGUUGUCUUUCACUGAACUUAGGCAGAAUUUUAAUUUGAGGAAGCUACUGAAUUUAACUUUUUUUUUUUUAAAUGAGCAUAUUUAUAGGAGAAUUCAGGAUCUCUCCUGAAGUGCACGUAUUGUGCAUUUAUAUGAUGUGAUAAAUCUUAAACCCUGGCUUGAGCCCUUUUUGCUCAUCUGCAUACAGAUGCACGAUUUCAGGCCAGCCACUGUUUUCUGUAAGACUCUGUUAUUAAACUGUAUUUGCAUGCUGUGGCUGUGAAGUUCAAGGUCCUGGCAACAGAUUGCAUUGAGGACCAGAUCAGAAGACCUGGAAAAUGGGGCCUUGUCAACUCCCUUGACUGCUUCUUAAAACGAGUCCUGGCAGAUGGCUGCUCAGAGCUGUAUUCUCUGCUUUAUUGGUGUGCAGAUAAAAGGCUGGUGAUGUUUCUUACUGGUGCUUAAAAACAAACACUCCAAAGCCCACGCAAAGAUCACCACCUCCAACCACAAAGCUACCAGAGGAACUGUAGAGCAUAACAGCUUCUAUAGCUACUGCUAUUGGAGCACUUUGAUCUGAAGGGCCUGCAAAGGUUAGUGUGCUUUCCAUGGGUGUUUGUUUUAUUGCUUUGUUUUAUCCUUAAGUGGACAUUUGAUUCCUUUCAAUUUGAGAAAAUAGAGUGAAGAACCUUUGUAUUCUUAUCCCACUUGAGACUCUCGUCUGUGUAAGCCAGCAUUUCUUUGUGCAUGGCAAAAGGGAAGUACUUUGUCAUGCUGGCUUCUGAAAACGUGGCUUGGCAAUUACUGUGCCAGCAGUCUUGUGCUGCCUGUGCCGCAGCUCUGCGGAGAGGUGGCACAUAUGGUGAUGGCGAAGGGAAAUGCCUUGAUUUUCAUUCUUUGUUCGUUACUGCAUGUAUAACAGCGUUCAAGAAAAUGGCUUCAUGUCAUCUGAACAGUUCUUCUGCUCCUUUCCUUUUGCAGACAAUCACUCAAUCUGUCAGGCCUCCCCUGCCUCAUUUCCAACCUUCCCCUCAGCGAGCAGCUUUCUACCUCAGAGUCUUUAUUUCCUGAAAACUCCUCAGGUGUGGCAUUCCAAAUCUGCAAACUCUGAUGUUCUUGAGCAACUCCAUCCUGUAGAGGUGAGUGGAUUAGUUCUCAUACUCGAUUGUAAAAGUGCUGUUAAUAACUGGUAUUGCAAGAAAGAAGCCUUCUUUUGUUUUAUAAUACGGAAUUACAAAGUCAGAAGUAGAAUCCUGCAUGUGGAAGUAUUGUAAGGAUGUUUUACUCGUCUCUUCUGAGAGGACCUUUGGGGUCUUUGGUGUGCAUGCAUAAAGUGCUGAUUAGUCUGGUGAUGCAGAUUGUUUUGGAGGUCUCAAACACUGCAGCCUUUUAGCAGAUACACGCUUUGAGAGUAGUGAUUGAUGUGGUUCCAGCGUGACAGUGCAGCACACGGCUGGCCUUUUCCAUCUUCGGGCCCACCUUACUGCCUUUCCAUCCUGUGCACUGAAUUGCAAUGGCAUGUCAGUAUCGGAUCCCUCAGCACUGUGCUGAGCCUCGCCUUACUCAUACUCACCCACUGGACGUUACUCAGCUUUAGCAAUCGUGUUUCUGCUACAGAAGGGCUUGCCGGAUAUCUGUAGUAUUGAUCCGGCCCGAAGGUGACAACCUUCCAACCUGCUGGUCUCUGCCCAUGUUCUCUGUCACAACAUCGGAUGUGCGUGCUCGCUGGAUGCACUGGUAAGAAAUGUUUUUGAGAAGAGAACCUCGUGCUUCCCAGAGCAGUAAGACUGUGAGGAUUUGGGAGGCUCUUCACAAACCUGGUUAGAGUGUGCUUUCCCAGACGGCGUGCUGUUAAAGCAGCCUUUCUCAAAAGCAGAGCAUUGUGCCUGGUGUGACUUAAAUCCCACCCACAAAGGAGCAUUCCCUGCAGUCUCUGAUCUCAGGCGCGUGUUUCCCCCACUGCUGCAACUGCUGGGCUUUCAUGCCUUCACUGUAUGUGUUUGGCUCUCUUUAUUAGCUCUGUUUGUCCUACUAGCUGUAUGCAAAUGUAUUGGGAGGAAAUGAAAAGAUCUUUGAAAAUAGCUUGGAGAUAUUAACCUGAGGCAAGAAGGUGAAUUUUACUGCCUUAAAUCAGGCUUCAGAGGAUGUCCUUGAACUCAGAAGCUUGGGCUUUGUUGUAGCCUGAUAUUUACUGCUUGAACUUUCUUUAACUCUAGGACUGAAGGGGGAGAUUUUCUUCACACCUUGCUGUGUAUGAAAUCUACACUUGAACUGCACUUGAGACGGGCAGAAAUGUAGCUGAGCAGAGCCUCCAACAGCUCAGCCCUUUCCUUCAAACGAUGAAGAUGGCUUCAGUAUUCGCAUUGCUGUUUGGAACUCGUCAAGAAAAAACACCGAACCCUCGACCGAAGCCACGACCGAAGCCCGCCUCGGGAAAGGAAACAGACAAGGAGCCACUGAUAACGACGAGAUCAAUCUCUCUUGUGUUGUUAUCUGUGUGUUUUUGUUGUUUACAGCUAUUUCUCCUGGAGAGGGUAUAACUAUCAGUGAUUUACGGUAUGGUCGUAAGGAAUAUACAGGAAUGAUGGGACCAGUAAAUAAUUUGACUUUGCUGACCGUGGUGUUACGGGAAAACAGACCGUAUGACAAAAGUGAAUGGGGAUGGGAGAAUGCUACCAGAUCUCCACGAAUUUGGGGAAAACCAGGGCAGAA